rnacentral:tRNA from 1 species
UGGGGCAUAGCCAAGUGGUAAGGCGGCUGACGUAGAGUAUUAGUAAAUAUUUUAGAAGGGGCAGAACCUUCUCUCUACACCAUCUAAAUCAGCAGAUUCCGUAGGUUCGAAUCCUACUGCCCUAA